AAUAUGAUGCCUGAAAAAGGGUUGUCUUGAUAGGACAAAUUAUGUAGUAUUGUUUCUACCCAUAUUA
rnacentral:tRNA from 1 species